AAAUUUGUUUUGUUUUAUGUAAAUGGGUAUUUAGAUUGCGUGUUUGUCCGCGCAUCGUUUGCAUGCCUGCUGACCUUUUGAAACCAGAAGAGGGUGUUGGAGUCCCUGGAAUUUAAGUUACAGAAGGUUGUGAGCCACCAAGUGGGUGUCGGGAAGUGGAAACGAGUCUGGAAGAGCAGCCACUGAGCCACUCUAGUCCAUGCAGUUUGCAUCUUGAACGGCCCUGCAAAGUACUGAAGACUUGGUCCCCAGAUGAUGUCACUAGGAAGGGCUUUGGCACCUUCCUAGUUCAAGGAGAGCCUACUGCAGAACCCAGAGAAUGGAACGAGUAAAUGUUUAUGCAUAUGGACUUAGCGUUCACAGUACACCGUGAGCCUAUGUUUAUGCAUAUGGACUUAGCGUUCACAGUACACCGUGAGCCUUUGAAUUCCCAGAAGGACACGCUAUCCCUGGAACUGAGAACCUGACUCAGGAGUGGCACGCUGUGGACAAGCAGUAAGUGCUCUCGGUGGACCAUCAAAGUGAUACCAGCUACUGCAGGGGCAUGCCUGUCUACCCAUGGUGGUGACACCUCAGGGGACACUAACCGGUCUAUGCCCUGUGGCUCCAGAGGAGGAAAACAGUGACACAGCAGAAGUCAGUGGGAAUCGAUGGAGCUCUGAAGCCUGGCUCCACAUGGUCGGCCUUCUGCUCUCUGCAGUGUGACUUUGAAGCAAGUUAUUCCAACUGAGUCUCACUUCUUCCUCUCCACAGGGAGACGUCAUUCCAACCUGACAGACUGUCAUGAGAAUUAAGUGAAGAAAUCUGGAGCAGUAGGUCCAGGACCCUGCACACACAUCUCGUUAGAAUUGUCAUGUGCAGGGUCUUGGAAAAUAGCCAAG
rnacentral:lncRNA from 1 species